AUUGAACGCUGGCGGCAUGCCUUACACAUGCAAGUCGAACGGUAACGGGCCUUCGGGUGCCGACGAGUGGCGAACGGGUGAGUAAUGUAUCGGAACGUACCAUUGAGUGGGGGAUAACGUAGCGAAAGUUACGCUAAUACCGCAUAUUCUCGCCGGAGGAAAGCAGGGGACCGCAGGGCCUUGCGCUCUUUGAGCGGCCGAUAUCAGAUUAGCUAGUUGGUGGGGUAAAAGCUCACCAAGGCGACGAUCUGUAGCGGGUCUGAGAGGAUGAUCCGCCACACUGGAACUGAGACACGGUCCAGACUCCUACGGGAGGCAGCAGUGGGGAAUUUUGGACAAUAGGGGCAACCCUGAUCCAGCCAUGCCGCGUGAGUGAAGAAGGCCUUCGGGUUGUAAAGCUCUUUCAGCCGGGAAGAAAACGCACUCUCUAAUACAGGGUGUGGAUGACGGUACCGGAAUAAGAAGCACCGGCUAACUACGUGCCAGCCGCCGCAGUAA
rnacentral:rRNA from 1 species